AUUGAACGCUGGCGGCAUGCUUUACACAUGCAAGUCGAACGGCAGCGCGGGCUUCGGCCUGGCGGCGAGUGGCGAACGGGUGAGUAAUUCAUCGGAACGUGCCCAGUAUUGGGGGCUAGCCCGGCGAAAGCCGGAUUAAUACCGCAUACGACCUGAUGGUGAACACGGGGGACCGAAAGGCCUCGCGCUAUUGGAUCGGCCGAUGUCGGAUUAGCUAGUUGGUGGGGUAAAGGCUUACCAAGGCGACGAUCCGUAGCUGGUCUGAGAGGACGACCAGCCACACUGGGACUGAGACACGGCCCAGACUCCUACGGGAGGCAGCAGUGGGGAAUUUUGGACAAUGGGGGCAACCCUGAUCCAGCCAUGCCGCGUGCGGGAAGAAGGCCUUCGGGUUGUAAACCGCUUUUGUUCGGGAAGAAAUCCUCUGGGCUAAUACCCCGGGGGGAUGACGGUACCGGAAGAAUAAGCACCGGCUAACUACGUG
rnacentral:rRNA from 1 species